rnacentral:rRNA from 1 species
UAAGGAAUAUUGCUCAAUGGGAGAAAUCCUGAAGCAGCAACGCCGCGUGGAGGAUGAAGGGUCUAUGACUUGUAAACUCCUGUAAAGAAGGAAAAAAUUCCCAUUAGAUGGGAGAUGAUGGUACUUCUGGAGUAAGCCCCGGCUAACUACGUGCCAGCAGCCGCGGUAAUACGUAGGGGGCAAGCGUUGUCCGGAUUUACUGGGUGUAAAGGGUGCUCAGGCGGAUUUGUAAGUCAGAGGUGAAAUCUUACAGCUUAACUGUGAAACUGCCUUUGAUACUGCAAGCCUAGAGUAUGGAAGAGAGUGAUGGAAUAUCUGGUGUAGCAGUGAAAUGCGUAGAUAUCAGAUAGAACACCAAUGACGAAGGCAGUCACUUGGUCCAUUACUGACGCUAAAGCACGAAAGCGUGGGUAGCAAACA